UACUACAAUAAUUUUGGGUAUAGAUGACACUUAAAUUUAAGAAUUGGGAAGAAAAUAUACAGUGAAAUACCAACGAACGGUCAUAAAAGAGAGGGGCGCGUGGGGAUGACAAUUGUAAACUGCAAUCAAUUUGGUUUAAUUGAAAUUAAUUUCUUACACCAAAUUCGGAACUUGCACUGUCCCUCAUUUUCAUCAAAGCCAGGUGUUCCCUUUCUUUUCCUUGAAAUCCCUUUCACUCUACCUUCUCACCAACCAUGGAGUAGCCUUAGCUUACCAAGAAAGAAG
rnacentral:misc_RNA from 1 species